UACGGGGGGGGCAAGCGUUGUUCGGAAUUACUGGGCGUAAAGGGCGCGUAGGCGCCUUCUAAGUCAGACGUGAAAUCCCUCGGCUCAACCGAGGAACUGCGUCUGAUACUGGAAGGCUUGAAUCCGGUAGAGGGAAGUGGAAUUUCCGGUGUAGCGGUGAAAUGCGUAGAUAUCGGAAGGAACAUCAGUGGCGAAAGCGGCCAACUGGACGAAGACUGACGCUGAGACACGAAAGCGUGGGGAGCAAACAGG
rnacentral:rRNA from 1 species